rnacentral:lncRNA from 1 species
GCAGCUUUUCUGCAAAGCAACACCGACAAAAAUCUUGGCCGGGGAUCCCGGAAAAAAAAUUACAAAUUUUUGCAGCGUUUUCAGAAUCCACUCUGGGCCUCCCUCACGUGGGGCAACCUCGUGCCUCAGGAAGCCCCCCGUCCUGCUUUGGACGGACGGACACAACGCUGGUGGUAAUAUCAAAUCUUUUUAGAGCAGGGGUCUCCUACCUUAGCAACUUUAAGACUUGCGGACUUCAGCUUCCAGAAUUCCUCAGCCAGCUCUUUUUUUUUUCACUUUGCUGAAGUCAAGAUAUAUUAUGUUUACUGCCUACCCACGGAUUAUUAGAGAGGGCUGUAAAUCCCUGUGAAGCAGUAUAUAAGUCUAUGGGCUGUUGCUAUUGUUAUAUAACUGGAUGAGGAACUCUGGGAGUUGGAAGUCCACAAGCCUUAAAGUUGGCAAAGUUGGAGAGUCCUGUUUUACAGCAUUUGCUACAACUCAGUUUGGGGAGGGCUCUAACCACUGAACUCAACUACCUUUUGGUUUUGUUUUUUUACAGAGGGGAAAUGGGGAAAGCCAUUCGUGAGAAGGAAGCCCAGGCCAUUUUGCGUAAGAGCGAACCCGUCAGAGCAGAAAAGGAGCAACAGCUGAGGGACAAAUUGGACCAGCUUAUUUUGAAGAGCAGGUUGGGAAGAGGAUACAAGCAGAAACUAACUUAGGUUUUAAAAAAAACGAGAGAGAGAAAAAAAACACGCCAACAAACCUUGCAGAUUUUGCAAACUGGGAAGUGGGGGGCGGAUUGCAAAGAGGACCACUGUGGAAGGGAAAUAAAGAUUAAAAACAAACAUUCCAGCCAAAGGUCCAAGAAACAAAACAGGCCAAAACCCACAUGGAAAGAAAGAAAGAAAGAAAGAAAGAAAGAAAGAAAGAAAGAAAGAAAGAAAGAAAGAAAGAAAGAAAGAAAGAAAGAAAGAGAAUGCACAGGGAAGGGGAAUAAAUAAAUACGACCGCAAUUGAGUCCAAAUUUUUCCCUGCUAAGUAAGGCAGUUGCUAAGUGGGUUUUGUCCCACUUUAUGGCUUUUGUUGCUUUUCUGGUCUGUUAAGUGAAUCUGGCUUCCCCAUUGACGUUCCUUGUCAGACGUUUGCAAAAGGGGAUUGCAUCACUCUGGGACGCUGCAACAGUCAUAAGUAUGAAUCAGUUGCCAAGCGUCUGAAUUUUGAUCCACGUGUGACCACGUGGAUGCGGCAAUGGUUGUGUGAGAACAUGGCUAUAAGCCAACUUUUUCAGUGAUCUUGCAACUUGGAACGGUCACUAAACAAAUAGUUGUAAGUUGAGGACUACCUGUAUAGAGGAGGGAGGGGGAAAUGGGCCCUAAAAAACGUGCAAGAAACAACUCAGAGAAAAAAUUAAGCACAAGAACAAUGGAAUAGAAUGGAAUAUAAAACUCUCUCUGUGUGUG